UACGUAGGGUGCGAGCGUUAAUCGGAAUUAUUGGGCGUAAAGGGCGCGUAGGCGGUGCGGUAAGUCACCUGUGAAACCUCUGGGCUUAACUCAGAGCCUGCAGGCGAAACUACCGUGCUGGAGUGUGGGAGAGGUGCGUGGAAUUCCCGGUGUAGCGGUGAAAUGCGUAGAUAUCUGGAGGAACACCGGUGGCGAAGGCGGCAUCCUGGACCGGUAUUGACGCUGAGGCGCGAAAGCUAGGGGAGCAAACGGG
rnacentral:rRNA from 1 species